rnacentral:rRNA from 1 species
AGGGGCCGUUCUCCGGACUAUUGCGGCGUAAGCGCGCGCAGGCGGAUUUUUAAGUCUGAUGUGAAAUCCCGCGGGCUCAACCCCGGAACUGCCUUGGAAACUGGAAGACUUGAGUGCGGAAAAGGAGAAUGGAAUUCCAAGUGUAGAGGUGAAAUGCGUAGAUAUUCGGAGGAACACCAGUGGCGAAGGCGACUUUCUGGUCUGUUACUGACGCUUAAGGUGCGAAAGCGUGGGGAGCAAACAGGAUUAGAUACCCUGGUAGUCCACGCCGUAAACGAUGAAUGUUAGCCGUUUGGGGAUUUCACUCCCUUUGAGGCUAAACUUAACCCUUUAACCUUUCCGCCGGGGAAGUACGGCCGCAGAUGUCUGAAUCUCAAGAGAUUUGAGGGGCCCCCGCACAACCGGUGGACCGUGUGUUUUAUUUCAAAGCAACGCAAAAACCCUUACCAGGCUCUUGACAUCCUCUGACCGACUCUGAAGAUAUGGCUUCCCCUUCGGGAGCACAGUGACAGGUGGUGCAUGGUUGUCGUCAGCUCGUGUCGUGAGAUGUUGGGUUAAGUCCCGCAACGAGCGCAACCCUCGAUCUUAGUUGCCAUCAUUUAGUUGGGCACUCUAAGGUGACUGCCGGUGACAAACCGAAGGAAGGUUGGGAAGACACCCAAUCCUCCUGGCCCUUAUGACCUGGGCUACACACCUGCUCCAAUGGACGGUACACAGAGCUGCACGACCGCGAGAGUGGAGCCAAUCUCUUAAAACCGCUCUCAGUUCGGAUUGCACGCUGCAACUCGCCUGCAUGAAGCUGGAAUCGCUAGUAAUCGCGGAUCAGCAUGCGCGGGGGGAAAUCGUUCCCCGGGCCUUGUACACACGGCCCGUCACACCACGAGAGUUUGUACUACCCGAGUGCGCUGGGCUACCUUUUUGGAGCAGCCGCCUAAGGUGGGACAAUGAUGGGGUAAUCAAAAAAAAACCCCC